UGCAGCCCCGUCAAAUUCAGUCCCUGCCUCCUCCGUGGCGGGGACUGGCCAGCCGGCUGCCACAGCAACUUCUGUGGGCCGUGAGCCCCGUGUCCCUUCCCGUGGGACCCCGGGGAUAAAAUCACACCACAGACAUCA